rnacentral:rRNA from 1 species
CCUACGGGCGGCUGCAGUCGAGAAUUUUUGGCAAUGGGCGAAAGCCUGACCAAGCGAUGCCGCGUGCGGGAUGAAGGCCUUCGGGUUGUAAACCGCUGUCAGUGGGGAGGAAAGCUUUGUGAAGAGCAAGGCUUGACCUAUCCGCAGAGGAAGUGUGGGCUAAGUUCGUGCCAGCAGCCGCGGUAAGACGAACCACACAAACGAUAUUCGGGAUUACUAGGCUUAAAAGGUGCGUCAGCUGCGCAGGAAUGAAAUACCUCGGCUCAAGCGAGGAACUGCGCCCAAAACUACUGUGCUUGAGGAAGAUAGAGGUAAGCGGAACUUACGGUGGAGCGGUGAAAUGCGUUGAUAUCGUAAGGAACACCUGUGGCGAAAGCGGCUUACUGGGUCUUUUCUGACGCUGAUGCACGAAAGCUAGGGGAGCAAACGGGAUUAGAUACCCUUGUAGUC